UCUGGGAGGUUGGCAUGAGCCCCGCUUCGGUCACACUCUGAGACUUGAGUGGGAGUCGUGGAUUGUCUAAGAUGCUAGAUGGAGGUGGCCUCCCCUCUAGCCACGAAUUCUUCAUAGUUAAUCUCCACUCCUGAAUUCUCCCUUCAUCAGUAAUGCUCUAUUAAUAUGACCAAAUUUAUACAUGAGGCCAUCCUUUUAAAGUGCUCAGGGAUAAUGUUGAAUUUCAUAUUUUUUCCUAAGUCCAGCCACUAAAUUUGUCAAAAUAGUUUUCUCUAUUUUUUUUUUAAUGGAAGUCGAGUUGAUUUACAAUGUUGUGUGAGUUUUAGGUGUCUAGCACAAUGAGUCAGUCAUAUAUAUAUAUAUAUAUACACACACACCACACAUGUGCAUGCACACACACACACACGCACACUGUCUUUCUCAUAUUCUUUUCCCUUAUAGGUUUUGACAAAAGAUUGAGUAUAGUUCCCUGUGCUCUACAGGAGGUCCUUGUUGGUUCUCUACUUUAUGUAUAGUGUGUGUAAAUGGUAAUCCCAAACUCCUAAUUUAUCUCACCUCCACUUCCUCUUUGACAACGUAAGUUUUUUUUCUAUGUCUGUGGGUAUAUUUCCAUCUUGUAAAUAAGUUCUUUUUCUGUUUUUUCUUUUUUUUUUUUUAGUUUUCUCAAUUUUGUAAUUUUUAAAAGUUCAUUUUUAUUUUAUAUUGGAGUCCAGUUGAUUUACAAUGUCAUGUUAGUUUCAGGUAUACAGCAGUGACUCAAUUAUACAUUGACAUAUAUCCAUUCUUUUUCAGAUGCUUCCCAUAUAGCUUAUUAUGGACUAUUGAGUUGAGCUUCCUGUGCUACACAGUAGGUCCCUGUUGAUCAUCUCUCUGUAGUGUGUCUAUUUUGUAAUGUUAUGGUCUUUCUUCUGGGAAGAAAUAUCCGUGGACAAGGAGUUAAGAAGUUGGAUCUGCUGCUAACUGGGUGGGGAUCUGGCGGGAUGCUCUGGGAUACAAAUGACAGAAAAUCCAGCUCAGUGUCCACACAACAGAGGAAAUAUGUCAGGUUCUUGCACUGAGUCCUACUGGACUUGACUAUUCGUCAACACCAGUCUGACACCCCUGGAGCUGAUGACAGGGUCAGACCUGCCCAAACCACAAGGCUGGGAAAUCUGGGGUGCUGUUAGGAAGGGAGAGACUAGCCACCAGAGAGGACACUUACCAGUGUGUGCGUUCUGACAUGUAGCCCUCAGUCACUUUGCUUCUCUGGGCCUCAAUUCCUUUAUGAUUAUUUAUUUAUUUAUUAUCUUUUUUGGUCUGUACCCAGGGCAUACAGAGGUGUUCAGGCUAGGGGUCGCAUCAGAGCUGUAGCCGCCGGCCUACACCAGAGCCACAGCAACGCCAGAUCCAAGCCACAUCUGCGACCUACACUGCAGCUCAAGGCAACACCAGAUCCUUAACCCACUGAGUGAGACCAGGGAUCGAACCCACGUUCUCAUGGUUACUAGUCGGGUUCGUUACUGCUGAGCCAUGAUGGGAACUCCGAUUUUAUUUUUAUUAAUUAGUUUUUCGCUAAGUCAGGGCAGUCAGCCUUAGGAACUUUCUUCUUCCCCGUGGGUUGUAGAUUUUGAUCGAGAAAAAUGAGCAGCGGGGGAUAUGAGGGAGGACCCCUCGAACUUGGCGUCUCCAGCCUGCUCCGCCUUAGUAAAGUGUAUUUCGUUUGUGGCAAACGUAAAACAUGGUUGUUCAUUCACAGCAGAUCCGGGAAGGUCUGGGCACGGCUUCUUUUUCUUACCAUAACCAUCGGAGGCUCUGCUGGGAUGCUGAUCUCAACAAAGGAGCCGAGAGAGGUUUAAUUUGGACUCAGAGGGAGCUGGUGUUGGCAGAAGCCGGAGAGUGACUCUAAAUGGCAGUGGAAUCAGAUCCCUGUGGAGAGUUGCGGGUUUCUCAAGAAUGAAACCACAGACCUCAGCUUUCUGCUUCAUCCACUUCUUACGGAGCCUUUGGCUAGUCUGGACAGGAGGUUCCAGUCGUGGCACCAGGAGAGCUUUCAAGGAAGCAUCUGGGGGUGGUUCCUGAGGGAAUGAGCUCCUCGGCCUUGGUCCCAGAAUCUAUUUGGGAGGGGCGUGGACGUGGACAAAGAUGACAUGAGUCCUGGAGAUGGCAGUGAGGUAUGGGCGCCUGUCCCCCUCCCCUCCCGUGUACAGGGCUGUGUGCAGGCUCUGAGGACCUAUGGGCCACGGGGCUGCCUGAGGAGGGAGGUUUUACCCUCCUGUCCAGGAUGUAUGGGGAAAAGGUAAUCUGAUUAGUCGUACAGUCAGCCCAUUUUUUUGGUGGCUGGCUAAUUUUUGAACAUAUUUAUAGAUUUGGCAAAGGUUGAUCUGGGCCUUGAUCUAAUUCUCUGCCAUAUAGCUUUUGGAAAUUCAUUCUGAUGUGGUGGUCAGUGGUGUUCUAACCUGGCAGAACAAGUACCACCCAACUUUGUGUGUGAACUGCAAGAGAAGCAGUUCGAAGAUGGUUUCUAGUCAAAUGUCUGUGCCUUGGAGGCAUUAGCUUGAAGUGAAGCCAUCAGAUCUUUAUCCCCGUGGCUGUAGGUCCUUUGUUGGGUGCGGGAAGGGGACAAUGGGGAUAGGAGAAAGACUAGAUUGUUCUAGUUGCCUAAUGGGCAACUUCGUAGCUGUUUGUUCCUUCCAAGGGUCCAUCCGGAUGGGAGUGAGGGACCAACUUGGAGAUUCAGGCCUCGUCUCUGGAGUUAUCCACUGGCACGUCCUCCCCGCAAAUCUUUGUGUUUUAGAUUCAGACAGGAGCACAGUGCUGCUGUGUGACCACGGCCCUCCGUCUUCUGGUAUUUGGUAGCGAUGGUUGUCAUUCAUUGAUGUCCAUUUCUAUGUGAGCAUCAGGAGCCCCGCGUGUGAAAGUAGAAUGCGUGCCUGUGUCUAGUGGUCCCUUUGAAAAGUCCUGUGCAAAAACCAAAUCAGAGAAACCCCGAAACCUCUGAGGAGGAAGCCCGAGAGGUAGGCUGCAAGCAGCAAGUUACAUUCUGUGAUCUUGGAAAUUCGAUCUUGGAUGGGAUACAGAGAUAGGAGAGUGUGGUGGUUAAGCGCAUGGACCCUGCAGGCCAAGGAGACUGGGGUCUUCACUUUCCAUUUCACCUCUUAGCACCAACUGUUUGACCGCUGGCACAUGACUUUUCUUUUUUCUUUUCUUUUUUUUUUUGUCUUUUUGCCAUUUCUUGGGCCGCUUCUGUGGCAUGUGGAGGUUCCCAGGCUAGGGCUUGAAUCGGAGAUGCAGCUGCUGGCCUACACCACAGCCACAGACAGCAACAUCAGAUCUGAGCCGCGUCUGCAACCGACACCACCGCUCACGGCAACGCCAGAUCCUUAACCCACUGAGCCAGGCCAGGGAUUGAACCCGGAACCUCAUGGUUCCUAGUCGGAUUCUUUAACCACUGAGCCAUGACGGGGACUCCAUGAACUUCUUUAAGCCUCGGUGUCCUCAUCUGUAAAAGAGGCUGACAGCACCUACUUGGUAAGGAUAAUGGAAGGAUAAAAUAAAUAAUGCAGGUAAAGCUCUUGGCUGAGUGCCUGGCAUAUGGGAAGCGCUGGAGAGCUUUGUUGCUGUGUAUGCUGUGUAGUUCUCGGGGUUGCGGUAAUUGGCUGCCCGGUGUUCAUGGUUUUGGCUUUGCUGUCUGGGCGCCUUGAAUGUGCUCAGGCUGAAGUGACCUUACCCUUGGUUCUCCUCGGGGCAAUUAGAAGUAAGGUGGGGUUCCGACGGUCUCCGGACAAGCUGGGUUUCCCACCAAUGAAGGAGAGGCGAAUUCUGUCUUAUCAGACAUGAUGCUAGGGAAGGGCCCCACGCGGCUGGGUUUCAAAGCAAUAUGUUGUCCCCACCCUUCCACAGAGAGGUGACAGAAAUCUAGUUAGUGCAGAGUUACAGAGAAGCUGAGACUUCCCUGGGAGGCCGUUUUAGAUGUCUCCAUUCCUUCAGUUGGAACUGGGUUUUUACCUGUUGUGUGGUUACAACAACAACAACAACAAAUCUGCAACCACUCUUGCACAGAGGAUGGAAAGAAUGGCUUCUUACUAGAUACAGAAGCAGGGAUACUAGAUACAAAAACAGGCAAAGCACGUGAAGACCAACCAGGCUGCUUGUCGGUAGGUGGCAAAGUACUUUGCUAUAAAUAUUGCAGGACGACUCUUUCUCUACUUUAAAAAAAAAAAAAAAAAAGCUCUGCAUUUCAGACAACAGAAAUGGCUGGACAAGUCUUUAGUUCAUGUGCAAGAAACUGAAAACGACGUGAAAGAUUUUCCUUAAAUGGAGACAGCGCUUGGCCCUGUCUCAGGCUGAAGUUAAAGCCAGGGUCUGAAUUUGCCUCCCAUGCGUUACUUCUCACAUGUCAUGCGGGUUUCCUGGGCCUAGGACCUGGCGAUCGUUCAUUUUUUUCCUGUAAUCUCGAGGUGUGUACAGGGCACAGCUCAGCCUCAGACCUUUCUGCUUUCAGUUUUGGUUAGUCAGAACCUCCAUCUGGCGGUACUGGAGUGUGAGUGUUUUCUGUGGCUUUUCUGCGGCUCCUUUUCAAAGUAUUCAAAGCAGUUUAAAAAUACAUAAUGUUCGGCGAUCUGACCAAGAACUAAUGUAAGUACUUAUUUGGGGACUCUUUCAAAAAAAAAUCUAUUAGAUAGAUUUGAAACUCUUUAACUCUUACAACAUCUUGGAAAUAGAUACUAAGAUGAAAAACAACAACAACAAAAAACGGUUCGAAAAACAUAGGACUAGUUCUCCACAGUCAUCCUGCUUUUAGUGGUGACAGUAAUUGCAAAUAGCACAGUUAGUGAAAACAGAAGAGCUGAAAUUCUUUAUUUAAUAUUAAACAGGAAACUGAAAGCAGUCUGCAGCAAUGUGGUGGGUUUCCAGCAAACCUGCUGCUGGGUUUAUCUGUGCUGAAAAGCCUAAAUGAGACGUUUCCCCUUUUAUUCUGUUAAGAUGGUGAGUGUUCAUGAAAAUCUCAACCCAAACACAGCCAUUGGAAGCAGAGUCUGUCUUCUAAGGUUUUCAAGCAACCCGUUUCCACUAGAACCUAAGGAAAUUUGGAAGCAAAUUGCAAACCUCUCCAAGGGUGGAAAAUGCACUUUUGUUUCGCCUUUGUGCAGGGCUGUCACUCACCCAACAUGUGCAUAUGAAUAUUCUUUCCGAAGACCUGGGCUUCAUUUUAAGGUCAGCCUUCAAUUUUGAGAGAAUAUAAUUUGCUGCUAUUUUUAGAGCAUCAUGAUUGCUCGUAAUAACUAAUGGAAAAAACUCAACAGAGAAAUAAAUGUGUAACAGCUGUGUCUGCUUAAACUUGAUUAAAGGCAGUAAAAAAAAGUAAACAGAAGAAUGAAUGUGACAAUAGACGGAGGGAGAGGCCAGUAUCCCACAUUGUGAAAAGUUUUACAGACAUAACUCCCUCUCCUUUGGAGGCCGGCAGAGUCUGUGUUGAAAGUUUACUUUACUGUUUGUCUUGAGUGGGAUCCGUGUUGUAGUGAAUAAUUUAUAGGCAGCAUGAAUGAGCUCAUUAGUCACCUUUUCAGACUUUAAAUGAGUUUUGUGGUUGUCAUUACUCGAGCCUUCUGUUCAGCCGCCGAGCAAAAUGACAGUUUGGCAGUUGGCUGCCUUGUUGUGGGGCGGCCUGCUUCCCCCCUUCAGGUCUGCGUCGCUUCGGGGUCUCAUUGAAACCUUCCCCUUCUAUCCCUGGGCCAGCCCAGGGACUCUCACGUUUCAGAUGCCUUUUGCACCCCAAGUUUAAAUGAGUUUUUUGGG
rnacentral:lncRNA from 1 species